CUAUUUUGGCAGAUUAUAUGUGCUGGAUUUAGGAUCCUGAGAAAUAGAGUAGUCUAUA
rnacentral:tRNA from 1 species